rnacentral:lncRNA from 1 species
UCGUAGCCCACAACUAACCCUAGCAUUUCCUGACUGAUUCACCUCCCAGCCUCCCCUCCUCCCAACCCCAACUCCCUCCCGACGGCUGAUUCCCAGCCUCCCAGGCGCUCACGCGGCCACGCCGUCGCCCCCUGUGCGCCCCGCCACCGGUCCGCCACCGCCCACCGCCGUCCACGCCCCGCCCCGCCUUCUCGCGUCGCGCCCAGCCAUCCACCCCACCCGCUCGCAUCGUGCUCGGCCGCCGCGGCGUUGACACACCAAGCCGCCGAUGCAUCCUCGCUUCUGGGCUGCGGCCUCCAGCAAGAUGUAGCGCCGCUCACGCCCCUGGAGCAGACCACGAUGAGGACAACUCAAGGAUGGCAGCAAAAAGGGAUUAAUCUGGUGUGUGUGAUGUUCUGAUGAUUGGUUGAUUGCUGUGCUUGUGAACUUAUCAAAACUCGGGUAAUCCCGAUUACCCGAUACCCGAACCCAAAGUUCCGGGUACCCGAAUUUUCAGGUUUCGUUUUUCUCAGGUGAAUCUCGGGUAGUGAUUUGGAAAACCCGAACUUUCCAUUACCCGAAUUACAUACCCAACCCGAAAUACCCGAAUUACCUGAACGUCCAGGGCUAUCUGGUACCUUUUGCAACCACCAUAACAAGCCUCGUAGUCUUUUAUCCUAUUAGUAGUUGGGCUUGGCCUGCGAUAAGAUGGGUCUAGCAAUCAUUGUGGAUCAGCCUUGAAAUCUAGAUUAUUAUCUAGAGCUCUUCGUUUAACAAUGUUCUAGCCCACAUUAUUUAGGACAGUAAUGAUAUGCACCGUACAUAGGUUAGUUAUUUUCUAAUUGUCUAUCUCUAUCUCUAGCAAGUAAUGAUUUCUUAAUCCGUCAAUCGGAAUCCUAAUCGGAAUUUAGGUGAUCAUAUGUUGAGUUAAGAGUAUGAAACUACUUAGAAUUAGCGUUUGACGAGUAAAAUAAAAAUAAACAUAAGUCCUUGACCGUACUAUAUUAUUAUAAAUUACAUAUAAUGUAUUAUAUAUAUAUUUUUAUACUAAUCAAUAUAUUUAUAUAGCUUUCUAUAGCAACGUACGGGUAUAUUGACUAGUAUAAUGUAAUUACUUGUGUUAUAACUGUUGUCCCGAAAUAACCUGCAGGCCCUAUUUAACUCGAUUGAAACUGGGUAACCCACCGAAAAACUUCACUGUCCUGAUCGACACCGGGUGCGAUACAUUGUGGCUUCGUUUGGCAACUGUGGAACACAAUCCAAGGUAGAAUCAACACCCGCGGGUAUUCGGUGGAUCCCCUCCCACCACCCCUAUCCAGAUGUGAAGUUUUAUUCUGGUACAAAACAACAUCAAAAUAUGUGGUGUUCUUUUAUAAACAGCUUGCUUUCUCUAUGCGCCCUUGGUAGAAUCUGAGCCAAGAAAAAAACAGCACUUUCACUUAACUACUGGAAUCCCCUUGUUUCCCUAGGGCUAAUAUCCUAAGGAAAGGUUCAAUAAACAGUAGGGAAUAAGUGUCCGUACAGAUUUUGGUAGGAAAAUAUUUCUAGGGAAAGUUUUGACGGGUAAUAGAUAUUGCCCUAGGGUUUCUCCUAGGGAACGAAGUUUUCCCUAGAGAUUUGAAGUUGUAGGGAAACUUGCUAACAUAGCAAUGUAUCCUAUGUGGAAAGUUGUUUUCCCUAGUGUCUAUUUUCCUAUGGAAACUGUUGAAGAAGUACAUAUAUUCAAAUAUAAUUUUUCAUUUGCAGGUGCUAAUUCAAUAUUUAUUUUUCGUGUUAUAUUGCAAUGCUCAUUGAUAAAAGGAUUCAUUGGAUUGAUAUUAUAUAACAGGAUUUGAAUC